GCAACAGUGCGAUCAUGAUGGCGAUCAAAGCCAGUACACCCUCUUACUCGGCGAUCGACUGGGAGAUUAGUUUGCUCUUAAUCGUAGUUUAUAGAGCAUUUAACAUCUUGUAUUUCGCAGCUUUGUAAUGAACAUUUGAUAAUAAAGGAAUUUAUUUGAACGUAUUUCGCUCUGGCCCUUUUUGCUCUACGAUCGUUCAAAUACGAUUUGGUUACGCUUUUAUUUGUUCACUUUCCCAUAAGGAAGGAACAUACUUUUUCAAAUAUUUGCCAUUAAUGAACCUCAUGUGCUUGGUGCCGUCUAAAUCUUCCAAAUGAUAGGCUCCAUUAGGCAAUACAUUAUUCACUUUAUAUGGUCCUUCCCAAUUGGGAGACCAUUUGCCAUACUUUGGAUCUUUGCUAUCCAAAGGGAGUACUAUUUUUCAAAGCAGUUCGCCCAGGCUGAACGACUUG
rnacentral:lncRNA from 1 species